AUUGAACGCUGGCGGCAUGCUUUAUACAUGCAAGUCGAACGGUAACAGGCCGCCAGGUGCUGACGAGUGGCGAACGGGUGGGUAAUGCAUCGGAACGUGCCCAGGCGUGGGGGAUAACUACUCGAAAGAGUAGCUAAUACCGCAUACGAUCUAUGGAUGAAAGCGGGGGACCGUAAGGCCUCGCGCGAUUGGAGCGGCCGAUGUCAGAUUAGGUAGUUGGUGGGGUAAAGGCUCACCAAGCCAACGAUCUGUAGCUGGUCUGAGAGGACGACCAGCCACACUGGGACUGAGACACGGCCCAGACUCCUACGGGAGGCAGCAGUGGGGAAUUUUGGACAAUGGGCGCAAGCCUGAUCCAGCAAUGCCGCGUGCAGGAAGAAGGCCUUCGGGUUGUAAACUGCUUUUGUACGGAACGAAACGGCUCUGGUUAAUACCCGGGGCUAAUGACGGUACCGUAAGAAUAAGCACCGGCUAACUACGUG
rnacentral:rRNA from 1 species